GGGAUCGAUGCGAGGGUGUGCCCCGUUGUUCUCCAUACCGUUUGACAAACACACAACAGUAAUGGGAGGGAGUGAUAGAGAAAGAUAGAUAGAUAGAGAGAGAGCGAGAGAUUUAGGUAUACGUGACGUGGCUCCAACUCCACGUGGUCGCUCGGUGACGUCACAGGGCCACGCAGGGCAAAAACUAGCCCAUUCACUUCGCUCAGCACUUAUGUGUCGCACCCUUUUCCUCCGUCAGAAGCCUACCAUGAUCCCUCAUCUAGAAAUCUCUGCAAGAGGAGGAAUUGUGGCACAUCGAGAUCGAAGGUCUCGUGGUAUCAGUGAUCUUCCAAUGUCACAUUCGCCCUAUUUUAUACUCCUUCGAAUUUCCGUUUUCCAGUUCAGCCGUGACUAGGAAGAUAUGCCUUAUGGAGAUGAAGACCGAUCGUCACCGUAAAACUAGUGCUCUGCAAGCUGAAGGAAUCUGAGAGUCGAAGAUGAAUAGAAUUGUAUUGGGAAGGAGAAAAUAAGUAAGAUAAUGGUCUUGAAGUUUUACGAAGAGGAAGAAGACUUCAGAGGAAGAAUUGGACGAGUGGGCCACCGAGUGAGUCUGUGCUCCUUGCGUUCACUGCGGGCUUCCAUGUGCCAAAAUUUCAAAAUUCAUAAGGCACGCGGUGAAUGCCAAGAGCGGACAUAAUUCAGCACUGCGUCGUUGUGCCGGCAAAACAUCGAACGAGCGUUGAACCCCCGUAUGUGAUAUGAAAAAACCUAAAACGAUAUUAUUAUCAUUACACAAUAGCUGAGUUAUCACUGUAAAAUUAAUCAUUUUUAUUUGAUUCUAUUUUACGUAGAGAUAGUUGAAUGGAUUAUACGCAAUAGAUUACAUAGAUCAGUAAUUGGCUCCGUUUGAUGAAAUAGUUGAACCUGAAUCCGAACCUUAACCAACUAGCCCGAACGUACUUUGUAUAUAAUGACUCUCUGUAAUAAACUAUCUUCGGUGAACUAUAAA